GGGUAUUUAAGUCAGUGGUGAAAUCCCCGAGCUUAACUUGGGAACUGCCGUUGAUACUAUAUAUCUUGAAUGUCGUAGAGGUAAGCGGAAUUCCGGGUGUAGCGGUGGAAUGCGUAGAGAUCCGGAAGAACACCGGAGGCGAAGGCGGCUGGCUGGACCUGAUCUGACGCUGAGGUGCGAAAGCGUGGGGAGCGAA
rnacentral:rRNA from 1 species